CGGGCUCCCGUGCUCAGCGCUGCAGUAUUGUUUCGGUGGUCCCCCAGAUCCGGUGGUCUCCCCUGAGCCUGCUCCAUACCUGGACUCCGGACUCUCCAAAAAUGGGUCAGAUCUUACCGUUCUCAGCCAGCCCGGCUCAAUAACCCCAGUCAGAACUGAAAGCCAGCGUUCAUUCAGCUGCAUCUCCAUCCAGGCCAAAACUAAUGGAGCAAAUCCCAAGGCCACAGAACUGGACCCACACACACGCAAUUCAUAUCCAUGCUCAGAAGGCCUCUCAGAGGAUGAGGAUGUAAGCUCUAUUCUGGAUACCACAUGGCCACAUAUUCCCCGUCCAUCCAUCAUUAGGCUGCACAAGGAGCCGAUCCAGGAAGCCCUGCCAGUCCGAAGAGAUUAUACUGAGUCAGAGGAUGGAGUGUUAUCAGAAAACAUACUGAAAAAUCAUUAGUGGCUUCAUGAGCUGGCAGUUUCAAACCAACAGCUGAACAAUAAACCGCAAGGGAAACCAAUGAG